UACCGGGGCUUGACAUCCUCUGACAGCCCAUGAAAGUGGGAUUUCCUCUUUUUGGGGGACAGGGAGACAGGUGGUGCAUGGUUGUCGUCAGCUCGUGUCGUGAGAUGUUGGGUUAAGUCCCGCAACGAGCGCAACCCCUACUUUUAGUUGCCAGCAUUAGGUUGGGCACUCUAGAGGGACUGCCGGUGACAAACCGGAGGAAGGUGGGGAUGACGUCAAAUCAUCAUGCCCCUUAUGUCCCGGGCUACACACGUGCUACAAUGGCCUGUACAGAGGGCGGCGAAGCCGUGAGGCGGAGCAAAUCCCAAAAAGCAGGUCACAGUUCGGAUUGCAGGCUGCAACUCGCCUGCAUGAAGUCGGAAUCGCUAGUAAUCGCAGGUCAGCAUACUGCGGUGAAUACGUUCCCGGGCCUUGUACACACCGCCCGUCACACCACGAAAGCCUGCAACACCCGAAGCCGGUGACUUAACCGCAAGGAGAGAGCCGUCGAAGGUGGGGCCGGUGAUUGGGGUGAAGUCGUAACAAGGUAACC
rnacentral:rRNA from 1 species